GAACCCCUGCGGUGUUCGUGAUUGGAUUGGAAACCUUUGACCCAACACUUACAAAACGGGAGCCUGUCCUGGUUUCGGUGAGCAAGUUCUGCAUGCACAGAAAAGCCUGAAGAAAUCAUAAGGCGCCCACCUGAUCCCCUGGAUCAAAGACCGGCCAACACGGCACAAUGGUGGGGGUUCU
rnacentral:other from 2 species